rnacentral:rRNA from 1 species
GCUAAGGUAACANAAUAAUUUGUCUUUUAAUUGAAGACGGGUAUGAAAGGCAUCAUGGAGAUAGACUGUCUUAUAGGAAUUUUUUAAAAUUUUCUAAGAAGGUGAAAAUUCCUUUAUAUUUUAAAUAAGACGAGAAGACCCUUAGAAUUAUAACGAGACUUGUUUUAAGUAAAGUUUUUGUUGGGGCAACAUUGUCAAAAUUGAAACUGAUAAAUACUAAAUUUAGAACAAAACCAUUAUCUUAUAUAGGAAUUUAAUUACCUAAGGGAUAACAGCAUAAUUCAUAUAUGAGAGUAUGACCUCGAUGUUGGACUAAGGACUUUUUGCGCUAGACGUGGAAAAAGAUGGUUCUGUUCGAACUAUAAUACCUUACGUGAUCUGAGUUCAGACCGGNCGC